rnacentral:lncRNA from 1 species
UGUGUCUGUGGACCCAUAGGACUGGCUCAGCCUAGAAAGACUUCCUCGUGGCAGCAAGAGCUCCUGAAACCACGUCGGGUUUUGUGAAUCAGGAGUGGACUACAUCCUGACCUCCUGGAAGAUGCCUUUCCAGUAAAGCUAACAAAAAACAAAACAAAAUAAAACCAUAUCCAAAAUACUAAACAGCUGUCUCCAAGAUCAGAAGGCAUCAGAAAAGACCCUCAAGAGUUGUCUAAUCCCAGAGGAAGAUCUUAAGUGGGGAUGUGCUCACAGCAGAAACCUUGGAAAUUUCAGGGAGUGAAAUUUUAUUGUCAGAACUUUCAAUAAAAGUGUAGCCACAGAUCCUGGGAGCAUUAAAUAAAAAUUACCAACAAGCUGUCUUACCUGUGUGCACUCCACUGAAAGGAAGGGCAAACAUGAGCAAGGAGCUCUUGUACAUCAGUCAAAAUUCUGACAGCUACCCUGUGAAGUUUGACGGGCUGCCAUGUGCUAGACUACCUAAGAUACUCUUAACUGAACCAUAAAAAGACAAAUAAAUUAGUAAUUGUAUCCCUCCUGUCAAUGUCCUUUUUCGUGAACUUCUCAAGGUGUUGGUUAACAUUGUCUGGAAUGAUUUAUCAAUAUAUUCUUAGCUUUCUUAGGAAACACAGAUAGACUUGAUUUUUUCCAAAUUGUUUUUUGAAUUGAUUUAAGAAAAUGAUACAGAUAUUGCCAAUUGCUGGGCCUCUCUUUUUCA